AAAAUGUUACUGAGAAAAGAAAUUAUAUUUACUCUUCAUUAAAUGGAAGUUGAUCAUCAUAAAGGUCUUCAUCCUCAUUUUCUUCAGGUUAA